rnacentral:rRNA from 1 species
UACGUAGGGGGCAAGCGUUGUCCGGAUUUAUUGGGCGUAAAGAGCGUGUAGGCGGCCAUACAGGUCCGUUGUGAAAACUCGAGGCUCAACCUCGAGACGUCGAUGGAAACCGUCGGGCUAGAGUCCGGAAGAGGAGAGUGGAAUUCCUGGUGUAGCGGUGAAAUGCGCAGAUAUCAGGAGGAACACCCGUGGCGAAAGCGGCUCUCUGGGACGGUACUGACGCUGAGACGCGAAAGCGUGGGGAGCGAACAGG